rnacentral:rRNA from 1 species
GAUGAACGCUGGCGGCGUGCCUAAUACAUGCAAGUCGAGCGAACAGACGAGGAGCUUGCUCCUCUGACGUUAGCGGCGGACGGGUGAGUAACACGUGGAUAACCUACCUAUAAGACUGGGAUAACUUCGGGAAACCGGAGCUAAUACCGGAUAAUAUAUUGAACCGCAUGGUUCAAUAGUGAAAGACGGUUUUGCUGUCACUUAUAGAUGGAUCCGCGCCGCAUUAGCUAGUUGGUAAGGUAACGGCUUACCAAGGCAACGAUGCGUAGCCGACCUGAGAGGGUGAUCGGCCACACUGGAACUGAGACACGGUCCAGACUCCUACGGGAGGCAGCAGUAGGGAAUCUUCCGCAAUGGGCGAAAGCCUGACGGAGCAACGCCGCGUGAGUGAUGAAGGUCUUCGGCUCGAAAAACUCUGUUAUUAGGGAAGAACAAAUGUGUAAGUAACUAUGCACGUCUUGACGGUACCUAAUCAGAAAGCCACGGCUAACUACGUG